UACAGGGGGGGCAAGCGUUGUUCGGAAUUACUGGGCGUAAAGCGCGUGUAGGCGGCAACGCAAGUCGGAUGUGAAAUCCCAUGGCUCAACCAUGGAAGUGCACCCGAAACUGCGUCGCUAGAGUCCUGGAGAGGAAGGUGGAAUGCUUGGUGUAGAGGUGAAAUUCGUAGAUAUCAGGCGGAACACCGGUGGCGAAGGCGGCCUUCUGGACAGUGACUGACGCUGAGACGCGAAAGCGUGGGGAGCAAACAGG
rnacentral:rRNA from 1 species